GACGAACGCUGGCGGCGUGCUUAACACAUGCAAGUCGAACGAUGAAGCCGGAGCUUGCUCUGGUGAAUUAGUGGCGAACGGGUGAGUAACACGUGAGUAACCUGCCCUUGACUCUGGGAUAACUGCGGGAAACUGUAGCUAAUACCGGAUACGACCCUCGGAGGCAUCUCCUGGGGGUGGAAAGAAUUUCGGUCAAGGAUGGACUCGCGGCCUAUCAGCUAGUUGGUGAGGUAAAGGCUCACCAAGGCGACGACGGGUAGCAGGCCUGAGAGGGUGACCGGCCACACUGGGACUGAGACACGGCCCAGACUCCUACGGGAGGCAGCAGUGGGGAAUAUUGCACAAUGGGCGCAAGCCUGAUGCAGCAACGCCGCGUGAGGGAUGACGGCCUUCGGGUUGUAAACCUCUUUUAGUAGGGAAGAAGCGAAAGUGACGGUACCUGCAGAAAAAGCACUGGCUAACUACGUGCCAGCAGCCGCCGUAA
rnacentral:rRNA from 1 species